rnacentral:rRNA from 1 species
GACGAACGCUGGCGGCGUGCUUAACACAUGCAAGUCGAACGGAAAGGCCCUGCUUUUGUGGGGUGCUCGAGUGGCGAACGGGUGAGUAACACGUGAGUAACCUGCCCUUGACUUUGGGAUAACUUCAGGAAACUGGGGCUACUACCGGAUAGGAGCUCCUGCUGCAUGGUGGGGGUUGGAAAGUUUCGGCGGUUGGGGAUGGACUCGCGGCUUAUCAGCUUGUUGGUGGGGUAGUGGCUUACCAAGGGUUUGACGGGUAGCCGGCCUGAGAAGGUGACCGGCCACAAUGGGACUGAGAUACGGACCAGACGCCAACGGGGGGCAGGAGGGGGGAAAAUUGCACAAUGGGCCGGAGCCGGAAGAAACAACGCCCGGGGCGGGAAGACGGCCUUCCGGGUGUAAAACGCUUUCGCCUGUGACGAAGCGGGAGUGACGGUAAUGGGUAAAGAAGCACCGGCUAACUACGUG